rnacentral:rRNA from 1 species
UACAGGGGGGGCAAGCGUUGUUCGGAAUUACUGGGCGUAAAGGGCUCGUAGGCGGCCAACUAAGUCCGACGUGAAAUCCCAAAGCUUAACUUUGGAACUGCGUCGGAUACUGGAUGGCUUGAAUUCGGGAGAGGGAUGCAGAAUUCCAGGUGUAGCGGUGAAAUGCGUAGAUAUCGGGAGGAACACCAGUGGCGAAGGCGACUUCCUGGCCUGUUCUUGACGCUGAGGCGCGAAAGCUAGGGGAGCAAACGGG